rnacentral:rRNA from 1 species
GACGAACGCUGGCGGCGUGCUUAACACAUGCAAGUCGAACGGAAAGGCUCCAGCUUGCUGGAGUACUCGAGUGGCGAACGGGUGAGUAACACGUGGGUGAUCUGCCCUGCACUUCGGGAUAAGCCUGGGAAACUGGGUCUAAUACCGGAUAGGACCGCACUUUGGUGUGUGUGGUGGAAAGGUUUUUCUGGUGUGGGAUGAGCUCGCGGCCUAUCAGUUUGUUGGUGGGGUAAUGGCCUACCAAGACGGCGACGGGUAGCCGGCCUGAGAGGGUGGACGGUCACAUUGGGGCUGGGAUACGGCCCAGACUCCUACGGGGGGCAGCAGUGGGGAAUAUUGCACAAUGGGGGAAACCCUGAUGCAGCGACGCCGCGUGGGGGAUGAAGGCCUUCGGGUUGUAAACUCCUUUCGCUAGGGACGAAGCUUUUUGUGACGGUACCUGGAGAAGAAGCACCGGCUAACUACGUG